UGUCGCCGUGCGGCAGAAGAACAGUGGAGGCUAGCCCGCCGUUAGAGUUGCAUCGUUGUAGUGUCUCUCUACGAAAUAAAGGAGUCUUUCUUAAUCUCUGUGCCGAGUACUCAGUGGGCACAUGCCUAGAUUCCUCCCGGGCUAUCCACCUAACCUCCACAACGUCAUGAUGACGUCAUUCUCGAUAAAAAGAACGCUUUAGUGUAAACUUCCUGUACUGGUGUGCACUAGUGCAGAAAGUGUUCCGAAAAAAGAAAAACCUCUAGUCAUUGAUAGUCUAAUACGAAAGUCUGAUAGGAGCUUUACGGCGGAUAUUAUAUUCUUAGCUUUUAGUGAAGGCAGGUCAAUUUUGAGAUUGAUCGCUGAAUUCAGUUCAAUGAACUGUUGCACUGAGUCAGGAGGUAGUGUGGUCAGUGCAGUGCAUGAAAGUGUAGCUUGGAAGUGCAUGUAGGCGUAACGGAAAUUUAUACGAAAAGUUUCUAUCAGAUAUCUCACAUAAUAAUGGAGAGUACGGAAUUAGCCUUUAUGAAGAGAAAUCCUGGUGGAAAAUUAUACUCAAUGAAAAUAAUAACGUGACAUGCGUUUCUGAAGGUUAUGUCUACAGAAAGUUAUAUCUACAGGAUUCCCUGAAGCAUGUAUGUAUAGAGAGUAAAAGCCCAGAUGAUAAUAUACUUAAGUAUCUUGCCCACAUUUAUGCAGUCAUCCAGAAAUUCGUAGAGGCGAUGCUUGUCCACCAGAAGUAUUCCCAAAUGGCAUUACAAAUGGAGCAUAUUGGUAUGAAGUAAUUGGCGAAAUGCAAGAUUUCAAUUAUGCUCGUUCUAAUGCAUUUGAAAUAACGUUUGAACUAAGUUGGUGCAAAUAUCCAUCAGCUUCAACGAUAUCAAAUCAAUGAGAAAUGAAUCUCUGAUUAAAUAUUUGGACCAAGUAGUACAUAAGUACACAAGUACAUAAUGGAAUAAAAGGAUUUGUAUAUAGCAAAGAUGGUAAUCCAAUCCAAGAAGCAAACGUCAUUGUAACAGGAAUAAAUAUAACUAUAACAAUUGAUGGCGAGUCCUACCAGAUAUGAAAUAUAAUAUAUACUAAGUUACGAAUAUAUAUAUAUAUAUAUAUAUAUAAACAUUGAACGGUAUAUACGCAAAUUGAUAUAGAAGUAGAUAAACAUUGAACGGUAUAUACGCAAGUAGAUAAACAUUGAUAUAGAAGAAGAUAAACAUUGAACGGUAUAUACGCAAAUUGAUAUAGAAGUAGAUAAACAUUGAACGGUAUAUACGCAAGUAGAUAAACAUUGAUAUAGAAGAAGAUAAACAUUGAACGGUAUAUACGCAAAUUGAUAUAGAAGUAAACUAUUGUUCCUCUAACUGUCUCGUGUUUUAUAAUAUAAACUCUCUAUCCUAUUGCACAAUUAAUAAUAAUAAAUAAUGUUAUAAUACAUUUUGUUAUAAUACAUACUUUCCAUCGAAGUAAAUACAUCACACGUCCUGAAUCGAUUUAUUAGACCUUAUGCUACUGAUCUUGAUAAGCGAAAAUACAUUAUGAAAUCAAUAUUGUUUUAAUCGUUAACAAUAUUUUCG